CUAACAUGUAUGCGAGUCCCAGGGUCUUGAACAGGCCCGGGAGGCGCAAUGAAAGCAAAGGCCGGGGGACCCCGGCCGUGUUGGGAUCCCCUCUCCUCAAGCGGGAGGGGCGCACCAACGACCCGUCCUGUUCCACUUGUGGAUUGGGCGGAGUCUGAGCAUACACGUUGGGACCCGAAAGAUGGUGAACUAUGCCCGGGCAGGACGAGGCCAGAGGAAACUCUGGUGGAGGUCCGUAGCGGUUCUGACGUGCAAAUCGAUCGUCAGAUCCGGGUCUAGGGGCGAAAGACUAAUCGAACCAUCU
rnacentral:rRNA from 1 species